rnacentral:rRNA from 1 species
CAGCCGCCGCGGUAAUACGGAGGGAGCUAGCGUUGUUCGGAAUUACUGGGCGUAAAGCGCACGUAGGCGGUAUAUCAAGUCAGGGGUGAAAGCCCGGAGCUCAACUCCGGAACUGCCCUUGAAACUAGUAUGCUAGAAUCUUGGAGAGGCGGGUGGAAUUCCGAGUGUAGAGGUGAAAUUCGUAGAUAUUCGGAAGAACACCAGUGGCGAAGGCGGCCCGCUGGACAAGUAUUGACGCUGAGGUGCGAAAGCGUGGGGAGCAAACAGGAUUAGAUACCCCCGUAGUCCCUGUCUCUUAUAC